CUUUGUGAAAGGACUGACAGUUGGUGGGAGCAGAGCUCUGUGCAUACCUUCAAGACCAAUCUAGGCCUGAAGCCUGCUAAACCGCUGCCAUGGCUUCCUGGACCAUAGGAGUGCUAAUCGGAUGGCGAGGAGCCAGUCAUGAUUUUGGUGGGACUCUCCUCCAAUUCAGAAGAAAAAAAAGGUGACAUUUAUGCAAAUUAUAUACAAAAGAGGCUGUUUUCAGGUGUUCACAAGGUGGGGCUUUAAUGCCACUGUUUUGACAAUGGCAAUUAUGCGCAUGACCUGUCAAACAUGACGUUAUGGCAUGCCCAUGUAUGGCUGCCAAUGGAACCAGGUCACUGAUGUUUGUUAAUGAUGUCAUAUUAAAAAAAUGAUAGAACACCGCUUCAUAAUACAGUCAAUACAAUACGAUGGCUUAGUUAGUCAUCUGGUUUCAAUCUGAUUCCUAAAGACAGAAAGCAGAAAAACUCACAAACAAACAGCAAAUAAACAGCUGCCCACAUUUAGGAGGA